GGGGCUGUAGCUCAGUUUGGUAGAGCGGCGCGUUCGCAUCGCGUAGGUAGAGGGUUCGAAUCCCUUCAGCUCCA
rnacentral:tRNA from 1 species